rnacentral:lncRNA from 1 species
AUUAUUUUUGAUUAUUAUUAUUAUUAUUAACCAUUAAAAUGAAAUAUAUAUAAAAAAAUGUAAAUCACGUAAAAUAGUUCAGAAUUGGUAAAUCAUGCACUCUCAGAAAAAAGGAACAAAAGUUGUCACUGGGGCAGUACCUUUUCAAAAGGCACACCUUUGUACCUGAAGAGUCCAUAUUGUUACCUUAAAGGUACAUAUUAGUACCUAAAGUGUCAAAAGGCACACCUUUGUACCUGAAGAGUCCAUAUGUUACCUAAGGUACAUAUUAGUACCUAAAGUGUACGUAUUAGUACCUAAAAGGUACAAAAGUGUACCUUUUGAAAAGGUACCGCCCCAGUGAGAGCAUUUGUACCUUUUAUAGUGAGAGUGUGUAGGCUUUUUUUGUAAUAGACAUCCUUCAGUGAGGUUUAGGCAUUUUGAAAGAAAUCAAGGAGUGUACUGUAUGUGAAACAGUUAAUUAAGAUAUUGUUAACGUUUGAGUAAUAUUACCUCCAGUGGCUUUUCUCUCCUAAUAUGGCCAGGAUACUUCCUUCUCUGUAAUGAUUUUGGCCUGAAUCUCAGCUAGGCAAAGGCAACAGUGGAAUGGGAAUAAUAUUUGGGCCAAGAUUUAGCAGUACUGGCAGACUACCAGCCAUAAUGCGUUUGGUGUUUGAUUAAUUGCUUUUUCUUAAGAAGCUGCCCUUCCUAACUCUGGUUUUACUGUUUAUGAUGGUUCAGGUCAAGACACGACUAGAAGAAUAUGGCUAUUUAAAAAACUGUUAGAUGCCAACCCUUUGUCUUUUAUUGUGAAUACAUGAAGCUCAGUGCCAAAACUGUGAUUGCAAAACACGGCACUUGAGUCCCGGAAUCAGGCUGUAGUAAAAGAUGAUUACUGUUAACCUCCCAUCUUCCUGUUAAUGGCCUGCAGCAGACAUGAUUAAAAGGUGCUACUUGUGAGUCUGUGAACUAACAAAUGCUGAGUUAUAUAUCAAGCUGCAUAGCUGUAGGUCUGGAUGACUGAGGCCUGUGAUUUGAAUGAUGGUAUGCAGCACAUAAAGUCUUCAGCUAGGAACAAAUUUUGUCACAUCUUACAAACUGAAGACUCUGGCCCUACGGUGCUAAGUUCAGCAAAGCAUGCAGGAAGGGACGAAAAACAAAGAACAAAAUUCUCUACUUCAUGCAGCACACUGAGGUAAAUGCUAUUUUUUUAAAAGAUCUUCACAGCUGCUUCCUUUGAUUUUUCGUGAAAACGAAAAGAACAAAAUUACUACUACUUCAUGCAGCACACUGAGGUAAAUAGUCUAUUUUUUUUUAAAAGUAUACUUCACAGCUGCUUCCUUUGAUUUUUACUGUUCAGCAAUAAUUACGUAAGAGUGAACAUUGUGUCACAGAUUUUGUUGCAUGACGUCAUUCUCUCAGAAAUGAAAGCUGAAUGCUGCUUUUAUAAAAUAAUAAAUAACAAAUUCAUGAUUCUAGAGACAAUUGCAAUUGAGCCAGAAUGAAUGUUAUUAUCUGUGAACAUGGCAAUCCUAAUCACAUUUAUUGUGUUUGUCUGCAAAUCACAUAACGUCAGUGGAAACAGCACAGUAAAUGAAAUGUGCAAAACUACUUCAUUUUCAUCUUCUUCAUUGCUCACAGUGUUUGCUUCUCUUCUGCUUUGAAGUUUUAUGGCCUUGAAUAUGGACAGCCAAUAACAGACUGGCAGUAUAAUCAGAAACUAAUGGAUGUUCAUCUCUAUGGAUUGUAUUUUAGAAGUUUGAACUCUGUGGUUUACAUUUUAAAAGUUGGUUUAUUUAUUUACAUUUUUACUGAUUUAUUUAUUAGUAUUAUUAAUUUAAAUCUACUUCAUUUAAAUUGAUUAAUGCACUUCAUAAUCAUGCAAAACCGUAUUGUUUGUUAACAAACAACUCUUUAAAAUAUUAUAUAUAUAUAUAUAUAUAUAUAUAUAUAUAUAGUUUGUUAACUAAACAAUACUUAAAUUAUAUUAUAUAUAUAUAUAUAUAUAUAUAUAUAUAUAUAUAUAUACUGUAUCAUGUAUGUGCACAAAAUCAAAAGAAGUACAGUAAUGUCUGUGUCACUAGGGAGAAUUCUGUUUAUUCUUUUGAUCAGCUACUGGCUCCAGGCGUGUGCAGGGGAGGGAACUACUUAACCUUCAGGCAGA